UACGUAGGGUGCGAGCGUUGUCCGGAAUUAUUGGGCGUAAAGGGCUCGUAGGCGGUUUGUCGCGUCGGGAGUGAAAUCCACUGGCUUAACUGGUGGCUUGCUUUCGAUACGGGCAGACUGGAGGUAUGCAGGGGAGAACGGAAUUCCUGGUGUAGCGGUGAAAUGCGCAGAUAUCAGGAGGAACACCGGUGGCGAAGGCGACGUCCUGGACCGGCAUUGACGCUGAGGCGCGAAAGCCAGGGGAGCAAACGGG
rnacentral:rRNA from 1 species